GUCUGAGUGUGUGUGCCAGUGUGUCUGAGUGAGUGUGUGUGUGUGUGUCAGUAUGUUUGUGUGUCAGCAUGUUUGUCGGUGUGAGUGUGUGUGUGUCAGUAUGUCUGUCAGUAUGUCUGUGUGUAUGCCUAUCAGUAUAUGUGUGUAUGUCUGUCAGUGUCUGUGUGUUUCAGUAUGUCUGUAUGCCUGUCAGUGUGUCUAUGUGUGUGUGUUCCAGUAUGUAUGCGUGUGUGUGUGUCAGUAUGUCUGUCUGUCAGUAUGUCGUUCGGUGUGUCAGUAUCUCUGUUUGUGUGUAUCUGUGACAGUAUGUCUGCCUGUGUGUAUGUGUGUCACUAUGUCUGUGUGUGAUCCAGUAUGUUUGUCUGUGUGUGUGCCAGUAUAUCUGUCU